rnacentral:miRNA from 1 species
UAUCUGUGUGUGUGUGUGUG